UACGUAGGGGGCGAGCGUUGUCCGGAGUUACUGGGCGUAAAGCGCUUGUAGGCGGUCCACCAAGUUUGGGGUGACAGUUGCCGACUUAAUCGGCAAAGUGCCUCAAAGACUGGCGGACUUGAGGGCCACAGAGGGACAUGGAACUCCAGGUGUAGUGGUGAAAUGCGUAGAUAUCGGGAAGAACACCCGUGGCGAAGGCGGCACUCUGGGACGGUACUGACGCUGAGACGCGAAAGCGUGGGGAGCGAACAGG
rnacentral:rRNA from 1 species